UACGUAGGGUGCAAGCGUUAAUCGGAAUUACUGGGCGUAAAGGGCUCGUAGGUGGCCAACUAAGUCAGACGUGAAAUCCCUCAGCUUAACUGGGGAACUGCGUCUGAUACUGGAUGGCUUGAGUUUGGGAGAGGGACGCGGAAUUCCAGGUGUAGCGGUGAAAUGCGUAGAUAUCUGGAGGAACACCGGUGGCGAAGGCGGCGUCCUGGACCAACACUGACGCUGAGGAGCGAAAGCGUGGGGAGCGAACAGG
rnacentral:rRNA from 1 species